rnacentral:lncRNA from 1 species
AUCUCCUUAGUUUUGGAAUUCAGGUUUCAGAAAAUUUGCGAAUAAAAGAAAAGAAAAGAAAAGAGGUAGAAAUAAAGAUGAAUUAAUGGAAAUUUUUUUUAUCUUCUUAAUAAAAAUUAAGAUAAAUUAAUAUCUAAAAGAAUAAAAAAAUUAUUCUUUUAGGUUGUCAAACGAAAUUAAUCAAUUAAUCCAAGGAUGGAUGGUAAUAUGCCGAGGGAAGAAGAUUCAAGAUUUCCAGCGAUGGUCACAUCACAAUCCAAAGCCUCACAAGAAAUAGGACCUGUCUACCUUACAGAUUCUGUAACAUACGCACCCAAUGCAUGCACCACACCUGUCCUGCAUAUGGAGAAAAAGCAUGCAAUUGUUUUUGUUUGGUAGCUAGCUAACCAAUCAGGAGCUGGCUAAGUUGGAUCUGUAUGUUACAGAAUCUGUAACUUAGCCAGCUCCCAAGAAAUAAUUAACAUAAGCAUAAGAAGGGUACAGAGCAAGCAAGAUAAGGUCAAAAGUGGACCCCUCCUAGUUUUGGAAUUCAGGUUUCAGAAAAUUUGCGAAUAAAAGAAAAAUAAAGAAAAGAAAAGAGGAAGAAAUAAAGAUGAAUUAAUGGAAUUUUUUUUAUCUUCUUAAUAAAAAUUAAGAUAAAUUAAUAUCUAAAAGAAUAAAAAAAUUAUUCUUUUAGGUAGUCAAACGAAAUUAAUCCAUAAAUCCAAGGUUGGAUGGUAGGACUUUGACUAGCUUACAGAAUCUGUAAGCUACAGACUGCAGCAUCAGCCGUUGGAUGUGGGGUAAGAAACUAAACAAUAGACAAUCGGAUGGUGGGAUGACGGGAAAUGUUUGUUACAGAAUCUGUACCAUAGACAGGUCCUGGAUGGUAAUAUGCCAAGGGAAGAAGAUUCAAGAUUUCCAGCGAUGGUCACAUCACAAUCCAAAGCCUCACAAGAAAUAAUUAACAUAAGCAUAAUAAGGGUACAGAGCAAGGAAGAUAAGGUCAAAAGUGGACCCCUCCACCAUCGUUUGAUCCUUGGAUUCCAAACUAAAGCUCAAUAAUCCCAUUAUUGAGACUCAACUGUACUAUUCCAUCAAAUAUUUCACACAAAGAAACUAAUAAGAAACAAAAAUUUCAAUCUUCAUAGCUCAAUAACCUCACACCAACAACACACACGGUUCUUUACAAAACAAAACACAAAACGCAGAAGAAAGUAACAUAGAUUACAUUACUAAGAUUAUGAAGCUUCUGGUUUUAACCCUUUUAUUGUAUAUUAUACUUGAAAGGUGAAAUCCCAGAUUAUGCUUAAUUUAAUUUACAUGGUUAUUUCCCGAAAAUGGAUUUGAUCCACCAAAUGCCUUUGGUGUCCUGGGGGCUUUCUUCUGCCUCUGGUGGGUUAUCACUCUGUGGUGUUCUGUGCAGUUUGCUCACAUCAUACCCUUCACUUGUAGCCUUCUCCACUAGCUGAUUGUAGAUCGCUUCAUCCAUAUGAGGCUCCCUGCAUAAAAUCUUCCCACACCAACACAACAAUUUGUUAACAAGAACCAACCCAUAAAGAAUAAAAAUCAAAUUUUCAACAAACAAUAACAUCAGGUAGUUGACGAGAAAGAACAUUAUUAAAUGUGUACUUUAUGCAAUAAAGUUUAGUUCCUAGCAUCAAAAUUUCACCUUUCGCAGAAAAAUUGCUCUUUAAAAAAAAUUGAGCAAGUAAAAUGGUAAAAAAAACAAAAACCCAAUUAAAAAACCAUGAUCAAAAUGCCAAAUCCUUUUCUAAGUAAAGGAUAGAGAAGGAUCAAAGGGACAUACCCAGAGAUAUUUCCUGGUAGGCUCACCAAUCAAAGCAUACUGAUAAUUAUCAUCAAUAUACAAAACCCAGUAGUUGCCAACAACAGGAAUGAUGGGGAAAAAGGGAGGCACAUAAAACUUGACCUUAAGCUUGGCCUCAUCGCUCUUAGGAUCAGCCUUGUAAGCAGUGCCUUCGAUGGACCCUCUUUUGCCAUCACUCCAUGUCUCAUUCCGCACAUGCACUGUCCCAUCUUCAUUCAAAGUGUAAGUAGCCCUCGUAUCCGCUCCAUUCUUGGGCUGAUUCCUUGAUGGAAAUGAAGCUAUCUCAUACCAUCUCCCCAUGUAACGCUUUAUGUCAAGACCCCUCACCACUUCCAUCUCUUUCUUGGAGGCCAUUUUUUUUGCUGACAAAGUUUCAAUCUGCUUUUCGGAAUAACAGAGCUUGGGUUUAUCAGAAUGAGUACUAGCUCCUGUUGUUGUUGUUGUUGUUGCUGUUGCUGCCUCCGCUGCCGUUUAAACUUGUUACUUGAUAAGGUAUAUAGAGAUUUUGGGGGUGGUGACGUGGAGGGGUAACGGCCUUACAUGUGUGAAGUGUGACUGGAUGAAAAUGCCAUUUGAAUAAUGGGACUUUCUAGACAAACUUGGACUUGCGGUUGUCAUUUUUUGGGGGAAACAUUUUAUAGCUUGGUGAAGAAGUAAAAGGAAAGCAAAUCCAAGCAGCAACCGAAAUGUGGCGACUUCAAAUUCAAUUGUCAUGCAAACCAAAACAGAAGGUGUGAAGAAAGAUGUAGAGAAGAAUCCAAAGGGGUCAAUUUCAGCCAAUCUUCAUAUAAAUCGCAUUUGCAUGUGUUUAACAUUUAUUGACACAUCGAUCUUUUCUUUCUUUUCUUUUCUUUUCUUUUUUUUAAACUUUUGGGACAGAAGAUGCAUUAAUAUCAUUGACUCAAGGUCUAAUUAUUUUUGCAUCCAUGAAAUAAGUAGUUUUUAAAUAUUUUUACAUAAAUAUUUAUGCAUCGAUAGUGUGAAAAAUCUUUGAUCAUUCUUGGCCUAUGCUUGCUUCAGGAAUCUGCUGCAGAGAACCCAAGUCUCUUGUUUCCUCUCAUUCUCUCAAGCCCACUCUCUUUUGAAUCAUGGUCAUGCUACGUCGCAAAAUCUAUUUUUUUUUUCUUUAACAGAUGAUAUUACAUUACAUAAUUUAUAUUAUACAAUCAGAUAAACUGAUAACAAUCCGUAAUAUUUACAAUCAGUCAAAUAAUUGAGACUAUAAUUUUAUAUUAAAUUUUAUAAAAUACUUGUAUAACGAAGUAACUCUCAUAAAUAUUCGAGGAUAUUUAUUUUACUCACAUUUUACAAGAAAUAAAGACUACAAAUUGACUUCACUUAAUCAUACUUAAUUGAGAUAGAAAUGGAGUCCAUCGUGACUCGAACCGCUAUUCUCGUGAUCCACCACUUGGCCUUUAGUCCAUUGCAAAAUCUAGUUACAUUAUUGGAAUUGAGAAUGAUUCGCGGAUGAAUAUUAUAUCCAUAACAUGAGGUGUCACACUUGAUAAAUACUAUUGAGUCAUGUUGUUUUGCGAUAAUGUGAUCUGUAGAUAAAGUAAAAUGUCACAGAUGUAAUAAUAAACAUGACAGAAAAACUCUUGAUACAUAAAUUUAAUAACUUAUAAUAAAAAAAAUCAAUCGAGACUAAUAUUGCAAAUUCACUCUCACUAACGAGGCUGAAAAUGUCUUGAGUAAUGGAUAUCCAAGCCUCUUUUGGCCUGAUUCUCUCAAUAAUGUCUCAGGCAUCGUAAUGCAAAAGAUUUUUAUAAUUAUCUAGUGUCCCCUUUUUCCUUGAGAAAGACAUAUCGUAAAGGUCACUCAAGCCUGUUGAUUCCACAAGAGUAACAGAGACCUCACUCUUGCAGCCUGUCAUCAAUCACUUUUGAGUUUUGACACAGAGAGAGGGGAAAAAAAGAAUCUGGACUUUUUAGCACUUCUGAAAUUUAUCAUUGUUAGGUUGAUCCUUUUUCACCUUUUUCAGGGGCAUAUGAUCAUUAAUGCUAUGCUAACACUAUUUGGUACCCCUACUCUUCGUAGAAAAUUCUCUAGUUUUUCUGUUUCCUCAAGCUUUCAUUACUACUCUAUAUUUUAUCGUGUUACACAUAAUCUACCAUAACUUCAAAGACAAAAACGAAAAACUUUAAAAUUUUGAGAUUUUUCAAUAGUGGGGGUUGAGGCGUUGAGCGCUAUGCCAAACCAUACUGUAUUAUUUUUAUUUUCUUUAUUUGAUCUCUUAAUUGUACAUUAUAACUGAAUCUUUCAUCUGGGUUUACAUCUUUACUUGCCACGAGGCAAAAAAAAAAAAAUGAAUAACAAAAGCCACGAAAUAUGAAUAACAAAAGCCACGAAAUAAAAAAAUUUCAUCUGGGUUUACAUCUUUACUUGCCACGAGGCAAAAAAAAAAAAAUGAAUAACAAAAGCCACGAAAUAAAAAAAGAAUGCAGUUUCAAUCACUAGAAGCAACUCAACCCAAUUUUAUCUUUAGCUAUAAUGGCUUCCUGUACAACUCUUCAUCUUCUUAUACUCAUUCUUGCAACAUUGGCAACAAAGGCAACAGAAUCAUUGCCAACUUUUCUACCAGGAGCAAAAGCAAACUAUUAUAAGUCUUCUUUCAAGCAAGCUAGGCUUUCAAAGCCAAAGCUUCCAUACAAGACUCAUUAUUUUCCUCAAGUUCUGGAUCAUUUUACUUUUCAGCCAAAGAGUUCAAAAAUAUUUUACUAAAAGUAUUUGAUUAAUAGCCAUUACUGGCACAAAGUAGGCCCUAUUUUUGUUAUACUGGAAAUGAAGGUGACAUUGAGUGCUUUGCUGCCAACACUGGGUUCUUGCUUGAUAUUGCUCCCAAGUUCAAUGCUUCACUUGUUUUCAUUGAAGUAAUAAUUCAGCAACACCAAAAAAAAAAUUUUUUGGGUCAAGUGUUUGAUUAUGAGGUAUUCGGAUUUGUUGAGGUAUUGUUGUUUAUAUAUGAUUUUUCAGCAUAGAUCCUAUGGGGAGUCAAUGCCAUUUGGGAAGACUCAUACAAGUCAGCAGAGACGUUGGGGUACUUGAAUUCACAACAAGCUUUGGCUGAUUAUGCAGUUUUGAUAAGGAGUUUGAAGCAGAAUCUUUCCUCUGACUCUUCUCCAGUUGUGGUCUUUGGUGGAUCUUAUGGAGGAAGUAAGUCAAAAACCCGUAGCUUGGCCUUUUCAACUUUUCAUUUUUACUGAAUUUAUACCGCAUGACAGUAGAUUUUGGUGAAUGUUAUCUUACAAACCUGAACUCAAGUUAGUGGUACAAGGAAAAUUUAAGGUAUGUUUGUUAUUAAUUAAGCAGCUUUUGGAUUUAAGCAUUUUCUAAGUGUUUCGUACCCUUUUUUCCUUUCUAAGAUGUUGAUGUGGGCAGGAAGCAAGCUUGAAUUGCUUUGAAGUGAUAAAGGGGAGCUCGGCAGAACUGGAGGCACUUUCAACUCAAAAAGAAGGCCUGGCUAAACUAAGCAAAACUUUAGAACUUGCAAGCGAGUCUUGACCUUUCAGCAUAGAAGUUAAACAUGUAUAAGAAAGAUUAAGAUUGAUCCGAUGCUUAACCGUAGUUUGCAUUAAUGUUUUAAAUUACCAAUUCCUGAAUUUAUUACUUAAAAAUGUAGGACUUGUAUGCAUUAAAAAAAAAAAAAAAGUACCAACCAUAGCAUGUUGAAGAUCUCUAAGAAAUUUUAUUUUUCCUUCGAACUCUUUUGGUUCCAAUAUGUAGAUGUGCAAAAUUAUUGAUGGAUUGCCACCAGGAGUUUCUAAGCUCAGCCAGGUUUUCGCAGGUGCAAGCUUAUAUUACAACUAUUCACAAACAGAAAAAUGUUUUAUGAUAGAAGAUGCAGCUGAUCCUCACGGCCUGGAUGGUUGGCGCUGGCAGGUAUGUGUUUUUUGCUGUCACUAGAACACAGUUCAGGAAUUAAGUAGGAGUCAACUCAAAUUUGUAAUUGUUAUUGCAAUAAAUAUUAUGUAAACCCUCGGAGUACGCAGACAUGUACGGAGAUGGUCAUGCCUAUGACUUGCUCCAACAACAGCAUGUUUCCUCCAUCAGGCUAUGAUUACAAAGAUUUUGCAGAACAAUGCAUGAUGACAUAUGGAGUUAGCCCUCGAAUACACUGGAUCACAACUGAAUUUGGUGGCAAAGUGAGUCAUCUUUUGUUUCUUCUCAGUUAAAAUAUUUCAACAAACGAAGCUAGUACUCCAUCGAUAAAUUUCUAUGUAUCUGCAUACAUGCUCUUGUAUGAAAAUUUUUGUCUGUGCAGAGGAUCGAGCUUGUGCUGAAAAGGUUUGGCAGCAACAUAAUAUUCUCCAAUGGAAUGCAGGAUCCAUGGAGCAGAGGAGGGUCUGUUAAUUAUCUUUUUAAAGACAAAAACUAAAUAUAUUGCACAAGUUGUAUCGAUAUUCAAUGACAUGUAAAUGGAUUCUGCAGAGUGCUGAAGAAUAUAUCAGCUAGUAUCAUUGCUCUCGUCACUGAGAAAGGUACGUGUACAUGCAUGCGUGUGUCUCAUCAUCGAUGCAAUAUGUCACUUAUUGCUUUUCUUUUCAAGUUUUGCAAGCUUGAAAUUCAUACCCUUUCUACCUCACCCCAAUAGGAGCUCAUCAUGUUGAUUUUCGAUCCAAAACAAAAGACGAUCCAGAUUGGCUCGUGGAGCUUAGGCGGCAAGAAGUUGAGAUUAUACAGAAGUGGGUUGGAUGAGCAUUACGCAAACUUUUAACACAAGAAUAUAACAAGUAUCAACACAACCUACCCUCAAGAUUUGUAUCCGAUACCUUGCUGAUUUAUAUUAACCAAUGCUCUUCAUUAGGGCAGUUGAAGGACCAAUUCAAUCUAAUCCAAUCAAUCCAUCUAAUCCAAACCGUUCCAAUUUUUGCUUGAUUUGAUUGGAUUGAAUUGUAAAAUAGAAAAUCUAAUGCUGUUGGACUGGUUUACAGGUCUAUGUGUUUAAAUCCAAUAUAAACUAAUCCAACCAAUUAAUUUUUAUUUUCUUUAUUUAAUUUCAAGAAAAACUACAUGUCAUUUAUAUAUUUAACUUAUUAAAGAAUUAAAACCUAAUUUAUAUAAGUUGUUUUCAACAUAUUUUGGGGUAGGAAAAUCCAAAAUCUAUCUUAAACAAUGAAUUUAUAUUUUUCGGGGAGAUGGGGUACCUCACUGGUUUGUUGUGUGCGGUGCGGUGUAUCUGAAGUUCAGGGGAGGUGAGAAGGGGAGAGAGAGUGGUAACAAUGGUGGAAGGUCAGAAACAAGAGAGGUGUCCUUCAAAAUGAGCUUCACGCCUGCAAAACAGUGAAAUAGAGGUUAGAGGUGAAGCAGGGGUACCCCGGCGUUCACACUCCGACGCUCAAGUUAGCAAACUCAAGCUUUUAUGGCAAAGAGAGCUAGCUAGCCCUCUGUAAAUUAGGGUUUAAGGUUGAAGAAAACCUUUUUUUUGGAGUGUGAGUGUUUUUGGGCGAAUGAGAGCAUGAUGGAGAAUGAAACCUAGGCGCCUUUAUAUAUGGAGUACCUUAGCUGCCACGUGGCGUACCCUUUUUGGCUAACGUCCUUUUACCGCUUUUAUGAUUCUUGGGGCCGUUAUGUGCAUGUUCGCGGCGUAUCUCAUCUUUUGGAAACGUGGCGCGCGUUGGAGAGUGGUCCGGGGUACCUCUGCAGUAGCUGUCGGGUAGGCGGCUAGGGACCACUGUCCUUGGGACAAUGUCCUUCACUUUUGGCAGAGGUAGCAGGCGGCUGUCCCCCCCUUUUGAUACGACGUUAUUGAUUCAUAAUUCUGACAAAAUCAAAUAAUAUCUUUUAAGAGGCGGAGACGUUUCUCAUGGCGGAUAUUUUCGGAGGUACCUCGAGUUACGUGGGGUACCUCUAAUUGUAUGGGGUACCUCUAGUUACGUGGGGUACCCCCUAUUACGCGGGGUACCCCUAUUUGUAUGGGGUACCUCAUAUUAUAUGGGGUACCUCUAUUUGUGUGGGAUACCCCUAAUUGUGCAGGGUAUUUCUAUUUACACGGUGUUCCUCAAGUCAUGCCGGGCACCUCGGAUUGUGCAGGGUACCUUCCGAUUGUGCUGAAAUCAUUCCAUUGGUUGACACGUGGCGCUCUAUAUCCUUUCCUAUUUUUCCCUCAAACAUAAGUAUACAAUAAUAAAAACAGAGUACAAAGUUGCAAGUUGCAACAAACGUUUGCUUUCAAUAUUUACAUUUAAACUUUUUUCAACUAUAUGAUAAUAAAAUAAAUGAAUGAUAAAAUAUUAAAGGAGUUGAUUUUUUUUUUCAAAUGGUAGUAAUUAUAACUUUGGAGAGCAAUUGAUGUUUUUAUUUUAAUUGGACUGAUUAGAUUUAUCAAAUCGAAUAAAAUUGAAUUUAACCUUUUAUUGAUUUGAAUUAUAUUGGAUUUUUUUCAAAUGGUAUUCAUCGAAGAGAGUAUUCAACAAAAUCUAUGGCCUUAUCGGUAUAAAAAAGAAAGAAAAACAAACCAAAACAAAAUAUAAGGCCCAGGACAAGGUAUGUGAAAAGUUUGGGUGUAAUCAGAAUUUUCUGGCAUGCUUUUAGUAUCAAUCAUUCCAAAAAGCAUUGUAAUAGCCCAAAACUUGGCGUUUUUGACUUUUCAUUUGUAGAAAAAUAGCAAUAACAUUUGACCCUCAAUUUAUUUAAUUAAUAUUAUUUAUUUUAAAACUUUUUACAGAUGAAUAAUAAAUAAAUAUUUUUCUCUCUCAAUCCCUUAAUUGAUUAACUUUUCAUCUCUCUCAUUUCUUCUAAUUGAUUCAAAAUGUAAAUCAAAUAUUAACUCUUAAUCAAAUCCCAAAUUGAAAUUAAAAAAAGUCUUAAAUUAUCACAUAGAACAAAACCAAUAUCAUCAAUAAUAAUGAAAUCUACCAUUUGUUCAUAAGAUUUAAUAAAAUCCAAGCAAAGGUGAUGGGUCAAUGGUGAAAAAAGUAAGUGGCGGUGAGGGUGUGUGGGGGGAGAGAGAUAAUAAAAAAUAUUUUUAUUAUUUAAAGAUAAUUCUAAAAAAUAAUAACAUAGAUUAAAAGUGAGAUUUGAGGGAGUCAAUUAUCAUUACUGAUCAAAGAAAUCAAGUUCUUCUUUCAAUUUAUUUCUUAAAACUUGGCAUUUUUGAUGAAUUUAUUAAAAUCCUUCCAUUUGGAUAUCAUAUUAAUUUACCAGUUGAUUGAAAAAGGAAAAAAAAAACCACUUAAUAAAAUUUUAAAACAACUGUAAAUAACAGUAAUUACAGUUAUAUAUAAGCAUAUUUAGUUAUUCCAUACAUGAAACUAAUUAUUCUAUUUAUGGAUAUUUUCAACCCAAAAAAAAAAAAUAAAGAGAAGAAGAAAAAUUCCACCGUCAGCCAAACUAAACAGAGACGUGAGCAGUAGUGAUGACUGAACGAAGACCGAGACGGCUCCUGAAGUGAACAAGACUUAAUGAUUUUUUGUAAUAACUGUCGGGUAAUGUUUACAAGUAAAACACAGCUCAUUAAAAUACUCGAACGGAACUGACUGACUUCUUUGCAUACAAAAAAAGGUUAAAACUUUUCACAUACAAGCUGAAGUAGAUUCAUUCAUUCAUUGAUAGUAAAAGCCCCAUCAAUCAAAGCAUACACAUUAGAUCUCCCCUGUAUCUCUAUUGCGUCUCAAAGCACAAACACAAACGGAGAGAAGAGAGAUUGUGUGCGUGCGUGUUUGUGUGUGUGUGUGUUAAUGAGAGAGAUGUCCAGGAGAUCAGGCAAUUGUGUGAGGUGCUGUCUCGUAAUAUUUGCUGUAGUUUCAGCUCUAGCUGUGUGUGGACCUGCUCUGUUUUGGAGAUUUAAGAAGGGAGUUAGUUUAGGUGAUAACAAAUCUUCUUGUCCUCCUUGUAAUUGCGAUUGCCCUCCUCCUCUUUCUCUUCUCAAGAUUGCGCCUGGUAAGUGUUGCUUUCAUGAUUUCUGCUUGUGGGUUGUUUUCAAGUCAUGAGCUUGAUUGAUUAUACGCUGAUUAGAGUGAUUUUGAGGAGUAUCUAUUUCAUCGAGUUGAUAUCUUUGAUCUACUGUUUAUGCCUUUUACUCAGCGGCAGGUUUUAAUGAUUUCUGUUUGUGGGUUUUGCUUUCAAGUUUUGAUUUUGUUUGAUUGUAUGUGGAUUAUAGUGAAUUUGAGUAGUUCUCAUUUUAUCAAGUUGAGAUUUUGAUUUGUUGGUAUAGCUCAUUUUUUGCUAUCUGGGUUGCUGUCGAGUUCUGAUUGGUUAAAUGCUGAUUAGAGUAAAAUAAUUAGCUUGAGGUUUUGAUCUACAGUUGUUGCUAAUUUUGAUGUCUGAGCUUUGUGUAUAAUGGAAUAGUUGCAAUAGAAUGAGGAAUAAAUUCUAAUUCAAGUCAGAUUUAUUUUCCAUUCUUUUAUGAUAUAAUUAAGGUUGCUUAUGUCAUCAAAUUUUGAGGUUCUGAUCAGCUGUUAUUGGUGAUUCUUGGUUUGGCUCUCAAUCUUCUUGGUCACCAGGGAUGUGAUUGUAUUACAGUCUUAAUCUAUCUUCUUUACACCCAAACUAAACAGAGACGUGAGCAGUAGUGAUGACUGAACGAAGACCGAGACGGCUCCUGAAGUGAACAAGACUUAAUGAUUUUUUGUAAUAACUGUCGGGUAAUGUUUACAAGUAAAACACAGCUCAUUAAAAUACUCGAACGGAACUGACUGACUUCUUUGCAUACAAAAAAAGGUUAAAACUUUUCACAUACAAGCUGAAGUAGAUUCAUUCAUUCAUUGAUAGUAAAAGCCCCAUCAAUCAAAGCAUACACAUUAGAUCUCCCCUGUAUCUCUAUUGCGUCUCAAAGCACAAACACAAACGGAGAGAAGAGAGAUUGUGUGCGUGCGUGUUUGUGUGUGUGUGUGUUAAUGAGAGAGAUGUCCAGGAGAUCAGGCAAUUGUGUGAGGUGCUGUCUCGUAAUAUUUGCUGUAGUUUCAGCUCUAGCUGUGUGUGGACCUGCUCUGUUUUGGAGAUUUAAGAAGGGAGUUAGUUUAGGUGAUAACAAAUCUUCUUGUCCUCCUUGUAAUUGCGAUUGCCCUCCUCCUCUUUCUCUUCUCAAGAUUGCGCCUGGUAAGUGUUGCUUUCAUGAUUUCUGCUUGUGGGUUGUUUUCAAGUCAUGAGCUUGAUUGAUUAUACGCUGAUUAGAGUGAUUUUGAGGAGUAUCUAUUUCAUCGAGUUGAUAUCUUUGAUCUACUGUUUAUGCCUUUUACUCAGCGGCAGGUUUUAAUGAUUUCUGUUUGUGGGUUUUGCUUUCAAGUUUUGAUUUUGUUUGAUUGUAUGUGGAUUAUAGUGAAUUUGAGUAGUUCUCAUUUUAUCAAGUUGAGAUUUUGAUUUGUUGGUAUAGCUCAUUUUUUGCUAUCUGGGUUGCUGUCGAGUUCUGAUUGGUUAAAUGCUGAUUAGAGUAAAAUAAUUAGCUUGAGGUUUUGAUCUACAGUUGUUGCUAAUUUUGAUGUCUGAGCUUUGUGUAUAAUGGAAUAGUUGCAAUAGAAUGAGGAAUAAAUUCUAAUUCAAGUCAGAUUUAUUUUCCAUUCUUUUAUGAUAUAAUUAAGGUUGCUUAUGUCAUCAAAUUUUGAGGUUCUGAUCAGCUGUUAUUGGUGAUUCUUGGUUUGGCUCUCAAUCUUCUUGGUCACCAGGGAUGUGAUUGUAUUACAGUCUUAAUCUAUCUUCUUUACACGUGAUCCGAGUAAAAGUAAUUAGGUGUUCAUUUCAUCAGGAUGAUACUUAAAUUUUUUGUUAUGUGGUUGACUCUUUUUCCUUGCUUGGGUAUCGCAGUGAUCAGGAUAAGCUUAAUCUUGCUUGACGAUUAUCUUAAAUCUUUAGUUCCAUGACGUUUUAAUUAGAAUGAAAAUCUAGGAAUGCUGUUUUGGUCAAUGCUUCAGCAUUAUAAAUCCAAUAAAUUGUAUUCAUUCGACAGUUGAUCACCCCCAAAACCACUGAAAGAGAAAUUGUGAAGUUUUUGUGAACUAUGAUUUCAAUGGAAGAAAAGAUUUUCCAGAGAGAAAAUUUUGUACUGUACACUUUUUUAUUAUUGGAAGUGGGUCUCUUAAGUUGAUAGUCAAUAUGAAAUAGUGGUUGCUUUGCUGCGGCUGUUAGCUUUUGAAAUGUCAUACAGGUUCCUUAAUUCCAAUUGACAUCUGCAAGUUUUUUACCUCACUGUUUAAUAUGUAGGAAUUUUUUUUUGGAAAUUGAAAUUUCAAAGUCUCUACAUAGAUGCUGAUGUUACCUUUCGGAUUUUCUUAUUUCCUGCAGGGUUAGCCAAUCUCUCAGUCACAGGUUAGAGCUCACUCUCCUAGCUUAACUUGGUGAAGAACUUCUUGCUUUUGUCCUUCUUUCUUAUUUUACUCAAAUUCGACUGCUUUGUUGGGUUUUCUUGACCCUUAGUGUUUAUUGCAUUCCACCUAUCAGCAGGCUAGUAUAUUGCAUUUUGGCAGAGUAACACGUUACUUAGCUCAUAAAUUAUGUAUCAGGCUAGUAGAUUGCAUUUUGCUGAGUAACCUGUUACUCAGCUUAUAAAUUAUGUACUCUUAUAUCAGUUUACAGGAAACAUAGUUUUUUUUUUCUUUUUUUGUAUUAAUGUUUGAUCUCUAAAUUCUUUUCAUCAUAAUUCACAUAUUGGUAAAAGAUUGAGCUACUCAUGCAUUUGCUCUUAACUGAUUAUACUAAAUAAAUUAUGAGAUAUCUCUCUGCAAGUUUGAGCCUUUGGAUCCUAAGAACAGUAUGUCGGGCAAGGGUAUAUUUUUCUUUUUCGGGCAGAUGUUACUUAAGUGGAAAUGUAGAAGUUUGAUAAAAUGGUUGCUUCAGAAAAUAUACUUUGCUGCCAAAAGCCUUUUAGCUCAUUCUUUUGUCAGCUUUCCCUUUUUGUUGCUCAGAUUCCUAGCGUGUAGUUUUUCCUGUUAAUUGACUCUAAUUGUGGUGAUAUCACAGAUUGUGGAAGCAAUGACCCUGACGUCAAGCAGGAGAUGGAGAAGCAGUUUGUCGAUCUUCUGACAGAGGAAUUGAAGCUGCAAGAAGCUGUUGCUGAAGAGCACUUGCGCCAUAUGAACAUAACCUUUGGUGAAGCAAAAAGGGUGGCUUCCCAGUACCAAAAGGAGGCAGAAAAAUGCAAUGCUGCUACAGAAACCUGUGAAGAGGCCAGAGAACGGGCUGAGGCCUUGCUGAUCAAGGAGAGGAAAGUAACUUCCUUGUGGGAGUGGCGAGCCCAGCAAAUGGGAUGGGAAGGAGAAUAGUUGACUGUAUAAUUUAUCAACUUCUAUACUCAGAUUAGUGAAUCGUUCAAACACUUAAUAUCUAUGCAAAGCAGGCAGACAAGCAAGCAAAAAAUUUGCUUGAGUUGCUUGGUAAGGGGAGGGUUACUGUCUCUUGCUUCAUAUUCUCUUGUUUUUUUUACUGCUAUCUCCAUUUGUAGUAUUAUUUCGAAAAUUUUAUUCCUCAAUUUCUUUGGUAAUUGACAUUUUGUGGACUGCUCCCACUACCGUUUGCUAAAUCAUAUUAUCUCCUCGUAUGCUUUUAUUUUCUGAUGCAGUAUAUUUUUGUCUGCUAAUAAUGCCUCUGCCACAUAAUUUUGAGCAGAAUUGAAGUGAACAAGUGCUGGGACUUUCAAACAACAAUAUGAACAAAUAUUAAGUUGAAGCAUCGUAUAUGGUUAGAAUCCAUAAAAAUACUUUCCUAUCACCAUUUUCUUGAUAUUCCCCAUCAUCCAAACGAGCCAAAGCAGUCAUUCAUGGGGAUGCACCAACCAAUGUAAUAAAAGAUGAUAUCCAAUAUCCAUACCAUUCACUAGCCAUGUAUAUAUAUAAAAUUAGUUGAAACACACAUAAUAAUUGAAAAAAGAAGCAACGCUCAUAAGGGUAUCCAAGACUUUUUCCCUUACCAUGAGCAGAGUCAUUUCAGUUUUGGCCCCAGGAACAAGCUAGCCACCAUCAACGCAUUUGACUUUCUCCAAAAAAAUUGAAAAAAGGUGGUGGAAAGAAAACGAGUCAAAUGCAAUCAGCCAGUGCGUACCAAGUGAGACAAGAAAACAACGUAACGCGGUUUCAACUUUCAACGUUCAUGCACACACUCAAAACACAGCUGUUUUUCUUUCUUAGUAUUAAUCUAUGCAAGAAUCUUUAAAUUUCUAUAUUUUAUUGUCAUCAGAAAACAUUAAAAAAACAAUAUAUUUAGAUCCAACGCAUAUGCAAUGCAACUGAGCAGCUCAUUAUCUUCAUUGCAUCAACUACUAGUUUUGUUUCGUUUUUUGUCAUACAACUCAGAACCCAGUUCCGUAAAUGUCAUAAAAAAACAGUUUUGUUUUGUUCUGUUCUUCAUCUUUUAGAAAAACUGGAAAACGGAUUGAUCCUGAAGAUUUUGUAUCGUUGUUUAUGUACUGUCUUUACAGGAAUUUUUUUUUUGUCGAAAUUUGGAAAGGUGGUGAGGGUUUGGUUAAGUUUCUAUAAAUGGAAAGUUCAAGGAACAAGAAGAGAGGGUAUGAGCAGAGUGUUGAAGAUGAAGCUGAUGGCAUGCCUGGAUCCAAAAAAUCGAAAUUGCCCGCUUUGGCAAGGUUUGUUCUAUGACUUUUUUUAUCGAUUUUUUUGCUUUCUGGUAAUGGACUUCUUGCGUUUGAUUCUUGUUAAUAAGUUUUAGAAAUGUUGUCUUAUUUUUUUGGUUGCUUGAAAGGGCUUGUAACUUAUGAUAGCUCAACGAAAAUGAAAAUUGAUUUUAGCAAUUAGGAAUCAAACUUGAUGUUAAUGAUGUGAAAUGGGUUAAUUUCUUGGCUAUAUCUAGUAAACAUAACAUUUGGGUGAUAGAUUCUAAUACCUAAUCUACAUCAAAAUUAACUUUUGCAACUUUGAGAUGACAUAUUAAGCAGAUGGUGAUCUGUUUUUGAUGGAUGGAUCUCAAUUACAUGAAGCACCUGGUAGUACUCUUCAGAUGAAAUAUGAGUAUUUGACAAUGGCAUUUUUUGGUAAUUCAUCACUUAAGACAAAAAUGAAAAGCAUUCAUAAUCCUCUCUGGUUUGGUUGCAUUGUUCAAUAGUUAUUGAAAUUGAUGUGCAAAUAUGCCAACCAGCUUAGUUUAAUGAAAUUGAGGUUUUUCUUUCAAGCUUUUACUAACACUUAAAUUCAUGUUUAUGCAGUGUGAUUGUGGAAGCUUUGAAGAUGGAUAGUUUGCAAAGACUUUGCUCAUCUUUGGAGCCUCUUCUCCGCAGAAUUGUGAGUCAGAAACUUAUUUCUAAUGAAUGAAUUUGCAUAGCUGUGCAUGGUAGUUUGCAUGAAAAAUUUGAUUGAUUAUUCUCUUCCAGGAUGCUUGAUGAUACACAGCAUAUGCCACUUGAAUGCCAGUUUAUAUACAUUAAUGAAACAUUUUUUUCCUGGUAAUAUAGUUUUGCUGUCUAUUGACUACUGUGAAUUCCUUUCCUACCAGGUUAGUGAAGAAGUGGAGCGAGCUUUGACCAAGUUUGGUCAUGCUAAACUUGCUGCUAGGUCUGUUUCUAGUUCUUCAUUAAUGUUAAGACACUAAAGAUUUACAUUUGGCGACCACCUGUAAUAUAAAAUCUUAGUAACAUGACAUUCUGGUUUUCUAAUGGAACUAGUUCUUGAUGGAGGGCAUUUCUCAAUACCAUUAGCUCACUGAUUAUCUCUCUAUGCAUAGCAGGUCUCCACCCCCAAGGAUCCAUGGACCAGGAGAAAAAAAUUUGCAACUUCAUUACAAAACAAGGAUGCCACCUCACCUUUUUACAGGGGGAAAGGUUGAGGGAGAUCAAGGAGCAGCUAUCCAUGUUGUCUUGAUAGACACGAACACAGGAGAUGUUGUCCAAACAGGACCAGAAUCAUCUGCCAAGCUGAAUGUUGUGGUGCUUGAAGGUGACUUCAAUGAAGAAGAGGAUGAUGAUUGGACUAAAGAGCACUUUGAAAGCCAUGAAGUGAAGGAGCGUGAGGGAAAAAGACCAAUUCUGACGGGGGAUUUGCUGGUGACGCUCAAGGAAGGGUUUGGAACACUUGGCGAUCUUACUUUCACUGACAACUCAAGCUGGAUAAGGAGUAGAAAGUUCAGGCUUGGUUUGAAGGUUUCCCCUGGAUACUGUGAUGGGAUUCGUGUUCGUGAGGCUAAAACUGAGGGUUUUGCUGUCAAAGAUCAUAGGGGAGAAUGUGAGUUUUCUCGUAGAUACUUUAUGUUUGUUAGACGGAAUGGAGGCUUUUUAGUCAAUGACUAUGUCACUAUAGAUUUUCUUGUUAUGGCUUUUGCUUUCCUUUUCUGUUUCUCGAUAAUGAGUUGUUGGAGUCAAAAUUAUUUCUUUAAUUUGCAGUGUACAAGAAACAUUACCCACCUGCCCUACAUGAUGAAGUCUGGAGAUUGGAUAGGAUAGCAAAAGAUGGAGCACUGCACAAAAAGUUGAUGAAAGCUGAUAUUGUAACUGUUGAAGAUUUUCUCCGAAUUCUAGUUAGAGAUCCACAGAAAUUAAGAAAUGUAAGUAACUUUAUUUGGAUUUUGGUUCAUUCCCUCAUGCACGGUCAUGGGAACUUUUUCUUCUUUUAUUUCAAACUCUUUCCAGCAGUUAUUGUUCUUCAUUUUACUUUGAUUUUACCAUAUAGAUCCUUGGGAGUGGCAUGUCCAAUAGGAUGUGGGAGAACACAGUGGAGCAUGCGAAGACAUGUGUCUUGGGUGGGAAGCUUUAUGUUUACUAUGCAGAUGGAACUCAGAAUACUGGUGUUGUCUUCAACAAUAUUUAUGAGCUUCGAGGCCUCAUUGAUGAUGGGCAGUUCGUCUCCUUGGAAUCCCUUACUCACAGCCAGAAGGUGAGACAUUCUUCGUUACUGAAAAAUGAUGAUGGCAUUAUCAUCUUUUAUAACAAUUUUGAAAAUCUUUAGCGAUAUGUUUAUUUAUCUUAUUAGCUUAACUACAUGUGCAUGUAUAUGCACAUUCUUGGUGAUGAAGACACUUCCUGAUAGUGGCUUACAUGAGCAUGUAUUUGCCUUCAGAUAUCGGUUGAUUCCUUGGUGAAGAGAGCAUAUGAUAAUUGGCAUCAAGUUUUAGAGUAUGAUGGCAAAUUCCUGAGCUCGUUGACUAAUAAUACUAAGAAGGCAAUUAAAUCAUCAGCUGCACCGACAGUUUCCAGCAACUAUGACACAGGUCGCUGUACCUCAACAACUCAGACCAGACAGCAGUAUAUGUCAUCUGAGCCAAGAUCACAAUACCAAUCUGGAAACCAUCAACACGCUCCAGUUACUCAGCUAAUUGAAUUUCCAUUUGUGAGGCCUGAUCAGACUUCACUGAUGAUACUAAAUAAUCCACAAGCAGUGUUAUCAGGCAGCUUUGAUCACUUGUCAGUUGGAAAUGCUGCAGCUGGGGGUUCUUAUUUUCCGGGAGAUUGGUCUAGGCCAAGGAAUGGGCAUGGAUUGGAAGACUUUUUGGCUGAGGAAAUCCGAGUUAGGAGUUCCGAGAUGUUAGAGAAUGAUGACAUGCAGAGACUGCUAAAAACAUUGAGUAUGGGAAUGACAGCAGGUUAUGAUCAUUCUCAUGAAGCUUGUUAUUCCUAUGGCAUUCAAUAUGAGCCUCCCAUGGAUCAGACAUACAAGCAGGAUCUCAGCAGAGGGUCGGGGAAGGCUGUUGUGGGAUGGCUUAAGCUUAAAGCCGCAUUAAGAUGGGGGAUAUUUGUAAGGAAGAGAGCUGCUGAAAGGAGAGCUCAGCUUGUUGAACUAGAAUGAGCCUGUUGCUUAAAACUUUAAUUUAACAACUUUUUAUCAGAUAGCAUAUCGUGAUGCCCUUGAUUUCACUAAUGCCUCGUUUUAAUUGUCGAGAAGAUAUUAUAGUUGAUGUAUGAAAAUAUAACCCUGAUGGUAAAGCAAAAUUUUAUUAUUGAGUUUUAUUUUCCUACAUGUUCCAAUAAAAGGAAAGGCAACAAAAAUGAAAGAAUGUUCUUUGUCUUAUAUAGGUCAGUUCCGUGGUAUUUGUUCCAAGUGGCUCUGCUCUAUCCUCUUGUUUUCAUUGAAAUAGAUUUAGAUGCUGGAGUUGACCCACGAGGUUGGCUCUGAUGCCAUGUUAACGGAAUUGCUUGACCUAAGAGCUUAAGUUAUCAACUAAAGGUUGUACUGAAAACAAUUUUCGCUUGACUUUCAGUUGUGGCAAUAGUGACCACUUGUUAUCAGAAAUGCUUCAAAGAAUUGCAGACGAGACAGCAAAAAUGGGCACCAGAUGCAAGCAAAAUAACAUCGCCGAGUUGGUGUUAAAGGGCCUUUGCCCCACCUACAGUUCGCUACAGCUGCACCCUGGCAGUAGCUGUUGGAUGCUCAACAGCCAGAUAGACAGUUUCAAGCAAACUAAUUUCCUCUUAUUAUUUUAGAUCUUGUUCUAAAGCCAAGUCCCCAUCUUUAACAAUUAACACGCAUACAUAUAAUGCACGAUUGUACUGAAUGAACGUACGAAUGACGUGAUAUCUCCCUCUCGCUUAAGACUCUCUCCUUUGUUGAUAAAAGAGAGUCUAAUAUACGUGCAGAGUGGCAAAAUUAAUGCAUUUUUAUAUCGUCGCCAGGCUGUUGAAACAGAUACUGAGGGUUCUAGAAGGCAUCCAGCAAUUCCUGCUAUGCAAAAAUGAAUAUAUGAUCAAUCAUUUAUGAUUUGACUUUGUUUUGUCUUCGUGCAUUAACAGAUCAGAUCGUUAGAUGCAAUCUUGCAGAGCACGUACUCCACAUUCUAAGAUUUGUUUGUUUUUAUUUCUCUUAUUAAGAAUUCACAGAACUGACUUUUACUCCAUUAUUUUACAAUGCUGGCCACCCCUUCAUAUGGAAGGCAACAGAAAGUCAGAGACGUGGACGUCACCAGCUAAGAAAUUCCCAUUAAUAUUAUAUUCACUUGAUAAUGAAAGAAAGUAAAAAGGGGGAAAAAAAAAACAAUGAAGGUGGUGGAAAUUUCUUGAGCCAAUGUUCUACCGUAAGAAUGAACAAGCAGAAGAAUGAAAAGGAAAGGACCAAACUGUUGUCAAUUGCAACCAGAAACUGAAUGUGGCAACAGUGAGCGGAAAAUAGAAAUGGGAAGAAGAUAACACAUGAAGCAUAAUGAACUACAUAAUUACAAGCUUCUGGUAAAGGAUUAGACUUUAUCUCUUGUGUUGGUGUCGACCCAACGAUAAUCAAAUUUCACAUGCAUGAGCUGAGGGAGUAAGCAUCAAAUCCUAGCUCUCCAUCCAUUAAAAUUGUUUCAUUUGAAUCCUGCAGUGCACACACCACCUCAUUUAGAGAUUUCAUUAAAGAUAUAGAUAAAACAUGUGUAAGCUUUUUCACCCUAUAUUAAGGUGCCAAAAGAAACAUGUAUAAGCAAACAUGGUAUCUAACUUACUCGUUUAAGAAUGCCACUCAUCAUAUCAUCCAUGGGAUCAUAGUUGUUUUGAAUGAAACCAUCAUGGGACUUGCUUUGCUCCAAGAGGAAGUCAUCAUUUGACCUCAACUUUGUAUUUAAUGGAGCUUUUUCUACACCAGUGAGCUGAGCAAUGUAAGGAGAAUUGCUUUGGUCCAUGCUCUGGCUAAAGGGACCCAUAGUGCAAUUGCCAGAAAGCAGAGUAUUUACAUUGCUGAAUGGAUUAUUUAAGUUCUGGUUGUAACCCUGUUUAUGUUCCAACCACUGCUGCUUCGAUGUGUAAUUCUGAAUUACAUUACCAAUCAGGCCAGGCUGGCAAGACAAGUCUCCCCUGGAAUCCUCCAAAUGCGCAGAAGUUGCCAUGGAAGAAGAAAUAUCCAGACAGCUGGUUGAAGAUAAAGUGUUCCUUAAAUUAGGAGGCAUUUGAUCAUGAAUAAAAGGUUCACUCAAUGGCAAUGAAUUUGAUGACAAUUGAACUGCAUCCUGCCAGCUUUCAUUACAUCUACUAUGAUCGAGAAAGUUCGAAGAAUUACGGACUCCAACAUCAAAAGAUUCCUGAUUCAAUGAGGCCACACUGAGCGAAGAUUGAUUUCCAUAAGCAUCCCUACUGUGAGCCUGAUGCAGGUUUCCUUGCAACAUCAUAAUGUUGCUCGAGGAAGUAGAUACAGAGCUGCUUGAGCUACCAACAGCCACUGUGGCAUCUGUGAAGCCAGUGGCAGCCAUAGACGUUGUUGGACUAUUAAUGUGAUUAAAAUCUCCAAUUUGGGUAGUGGACUUGCUUUGCGGCAGCUGGUUGAGCUCUGAUGACGUCCUGACACCUUGGAACAAAUUUGAAAUUCGGUUUGCAGGAAACAUUGCUUGCUGGAUCUUCCCAAUAGUAUUGAAGGAGGUGUUGAAGGAUUGGGAAUGGCCUGGUUGUAUCAUGCCAGAAGAAGCAAUUCCAUGCAUGCUUAAACCGGAAGUAGAGUUAAACCUACCAAACAUGUUGCCCGGUACAUAUGAUGAUGAUAUUGCAGAACUUGAAAGCCUUCCUGGACUAUUCAAUGAGCGCAAAUCCCCAAAUCCAUCCAGUGCACCGAUACGUAAAUAAGAGGAAUCUUUACUCCCUAAUGCAGCAACCAUGCCAGCUUGUGGUGUUUCAUUACUAAGUCUUUUCAGGUAAAGCCUAAAUUUCUGCAAAACAAAGGAACAAAGUAAGUUGAGGAGGGCAUUGGUAAAUUCUAUAAAUUUUACAAAAGCUUACAAGUACAGGUGUACAUCAAGGUGAAUGAUUCUAAAAGAGAAUCUGAAAAUGAAUAAUGAAAAGGAAACAUCAGUACCUGCAGAUGACUUGCCACAUUUUCCCUUGUAAGCCCUUCAACAUUCAUCAGGUCAAGAAUUUUCUUCGGGACAGCCUCUGCAUAUGAUGAAAAAACAAAAAGGAAAAGAAAAUUGAAAAUAUCUCAAGGAUGAGAAUUCGGAUAUCAGAAAAAUAAUAUACUAUUUCAUGGUAACAGAAUACUUACUGUCCACACCCAACUGAUUAACGGCUCCAACAAACUUUCUAUGCAACUCUGGGGUCCAAACAACCCGAGGCUUCUUCUGGGUUGUUGAGUCCUCAUUUUCGUGUCCAUCAUCAUCACCAUCUUCAUCCUCAUCUCCAUCUUGAUCCUUCCUUUUCCUGUUGGAUUUUCCAUUUUGAUCAGAAUUACCAGUAGACAUUGCACCUUGUCCACCUUCUCCAGCUCCAACACGAGAAUUCUCUUGGUUAAGCAACUUGUUUUGGUCCUUGGGUCCAACUUUCUUUCUCCUGAUUACAUGCUGCCAUAUGUUCUUCAGCUCCUCAAUUCGAACAGGUUUCAACAAGUAGUCACAAGCUCCAUGAGUAAUCCCCUUCAUCACAAGCUUGGUAUCGCCAUACGCUGACAACACUGAACCAAAUUUCAAGGGCAAACACAAACAUUAAAAUGUAAUCAGUCUCCUACAUUAACCACCUAAAACUAACAACUAAAGAAAUUAAUUUAAACAACUUGAGAUAAUUUGAAAAGAAAAGCAAAGAUCAAUAAAUGUGAUGAAGUAACAAAGAGCUUUUAUGCUUACUUAUGACAGGUAGGUCCAUCUCAAGACCCACAUGUUCAAGAAGCUUAAAGCCAUCCAUGUCUGGCAUAUGAACAUCGCUGAUAACCAAAUCGAAAUUGUUUCUGUUUUCCCGCAACAUUUUCAGUGCUGUAACAGCCUGAUUGGUUACUGUAACUGCAAUAAAUAAAUAAAUGUGAUGAAAAAAUAAGCCAAGUUUGAAUAAGUUUUCAGAGACAAAAAUUACACACCACAGAUCAAUCCAAAUGUACCUUGUUAACCAAAAGUCAAAAACACAAUCACAUCUGAUGAACAGAGUCUAACGGUUUUCAACAGCCAAUUAAUCCAGAACUAAAAAAAUUGAACUACUAUCAAAACCUCAUAAACCCAAUUUUUCAAAUAUUUAACAAAAAACCUGAAUUACCAGAAUCAUUGAAAUAUAAAUUGAAACUAUGAACACUAUGAAAUUUUUAAAAAAAUUACAACCGACUAAACAGACAAAAUCAAAAACAGAGUAUCCAUCCAAACAAUUGAAUUACUGCAUACAGAAAAAUCAUUAAAUAUUCAAUAAACAACCAUCUGAAAAACCCCGUGUUUUACAGAACUCAGAAAAAAAAAUAAUAAACAUAACAAGAAUAACAACAAACCUUCAUAUUGGCAUGCACGCAGGAAAUUUUCCAAAACUUUAAGGCAAGUUGGGUCGUCAUCAACGGCAAGCACUCGCAUACCAAUUGGAAACUUGUCUAUAUCUCCAUCUUCACAACCCGCAGAACCCAUUCUUUCCUCAGCAGUCAUUAUGAAUUAAACAACUUCAAAAUCCCAGGCGAAAAAACAGAGCAAAAACAGAGCCAAAAACAAAGAUUACUCAAGAAGAAAAAGUUUGAUUUUUGAGCGUUCAAAAUUACUCAAGCCUUGUUCUUUGAGGCUUUUACACAAAACCCAGAUGGAAAAACAUUAGAAAAUUAAAAAUUGAAAAAGAAACGUUGAACAAGAGAAAAUCAAAAGAAGAAACUGAGUGAAAGCUGUGCAAAUGAGCAAUGAUGGUGAUGUUCAGAAACAGAGUUAAGAGAGUGUUUUUCAACUUUCAGCCCCAACAACGAAACAGAAAUCUAUAUUUGUUUUUAAGAAAGUACUCAAAUUGUUUUGUUUUCUGUUUUCUCUCUCUACUGUGUGUUCUGUCUUUGGCUUUUUCUUUCUUUUCUAGCACAGCCCCAAUCGAAGCGUCUUGUUUAUUGCUUAUGUUAAUUAGUGUUGUAAUAAAAAGAUCUGUUUUUUUUUUCUUUUCUUUUUUUUAAUUUUAAUUUCAAUAAAAAUUUUCAAACUUGCUCACUCUCCUCUCCAUACAUGGAAAUAGCAAAAUAGGAGACCUUAGAACUAUCCUAAACUAUAUUUUAAUGACAGACAUUAUUACUACACCCUACCAUCUCAACCGUCCAUUUCACAUAUAGUUUCAUUCUUCUUUGUCUACUUGAUCAUCACCGUUGACUCAACAUAAUUUUUAUUCCAAUAACUCACGGUCUAAAUGUUGAUGGUGAUGGGAUUUUUGUUGGAGUAGCUGCGAAAAUGUGUCUUCUAUCUAAAAAUUGCAGGUGAUAAAACUAUGAUUAGUAAAUGUAAGAGAAUUAGUUUAAAUUAAUUUAAAUUUUAAAUUGAUUUAAGAGAAAUAUGCAAAAGGGGUAUUGUGGUCAACCGCGGAAACAAUGACAUAAAUUAAGGUGAAAAUAUGUAGAAAGAUUUCAAUAUUUAUUAGGUCUUAAAUGGGUAUUUACAUUACCAAUUAUUUUUCAAUUUUGGGAAGUUAUUUUGAUAUCCUCCAGCGAAAAUUCCUUAGAUUGAAUUUGAUUGUUCCCUUAAUUUGAGACUUAUUUGUCUUAAUUAAUAAAUGGCUAGGGAAAGACAAUUAUGUGUUUCAAUUUCAAGUGCAUUCAUUACUUUGUCAAGUCCAACAUUGUCUUUUUUAAGAUUCGAAAUUGCAACAUUUAGAGGUUUUCUAUUUUAUAUUGAAAUUGUUUUGGUAAAUUCUGAAUAAAGAAAGUAUUAAUUAUUAAUUAUCAAUUAUUGCUAUUUAAAUCGAAAGAACAAUUAUUUCUUUAAUCGUGAUUUUUUUUUUUCAAUUUAACAUGACAACUCAAUUUCUAUGCUAUCCAUGAGAGCGGAAUUUGAAAUCCCAAAUCUAUUGAUUUCAAGAUAAUGAAUUUUUCACGGCACCCACAUUGCUUUAAUCACAGUUAAUCCACGUACAAAAUGAUUAACUAAACAUUGAUUAAUUGUAAUAGCAUAUAGUCUAUAGUUUCUUUUUAUAUAUAUUAAGUUAAAAUAUUGAAAUAGAAAUUAAAAAAAAAAACUAUAUUAGUAUUGUGUCACAUUUUAACCUUUGAAAUAUGUCACAUCAAAAUAUACUUAUUCUUGCACCAACGUGGCAAUAUCCUUCUCGUAGAGUGAUUAAAGAAAAAUGAUAGCUUACCCAUUUCUUACGUUCGAUCAAUUCAACACGACGAGCACGAGGUUUAAUUUACUAAUUAUUUUGAAAAUGUAGCGUUCAUUCGAUGAUUUAUCAUAAAACGGCAGAAUGUUUGAUUUUAUUUGUGUAGCCACUUGAAAAAGCGUUGCAUGUAAUAGCGCGCUAUGAAAAAAAUAAUAUGAGAAUUACUAUAUGCUUUUAAAAAGGUAUAGAAUAGAACAAAGAUAUUUAAAAUUUCAUUAAAAAAAAAGUUAAUAAUACAUAACAAUAAAAAAAAAAGGUUUUCUUAGUCAAAGAAAUCAACCAACACAUCAAAAAUGUUGAUUUAUUUUUAAAUAUGUUAACUUUUGUUAAUGUAUCGAAUGUAUCUAAAUGUUGCGUUUCAAAUUUAACGGUUGUUUGUAAUAAUUAUAUUUGUUUAUCUGAUAAGAUAGGAAAUAAUUUCUAAAUACAAAAAUAAAAUAAAUUUCAUAUGCCUUUGAGUUUUUAUUUAAAUAAAAAUUAAAAUGAUGUUUAUUAUCCUCUAGUUAUUAUAUAAUCUUUUUUUUUUUAAAAAAAAGUCAAGUAUAGUAAGAUUUUAUUUGUAAAAUCACUCAAAUCAUUUAAUAUUAUUUUAGAGUAUUCAUAGCUAAGAAACCUCCAACAUAUUGCAUGAUAAUAGAAAUUAAAAAUAAAUAAAUAUGUUUCCAAUUGUGGGUAAAGAGAGCGUGUGAGUCACUACCCAAAACAGAGAGUGGGAAAACAUGUACCCUAUAUUAUAUUAGGUAAGCUUCCCCGUAACAUAAAGGUCGUAUCAAAAGUACCAAUUCUCUCGUUCAGUUUCAGGGGGACCCUGUGCGCUUCCAGAUUCGACCGACACGUUUCGAAUUUUGAUUGGUUAGAAAUCGUCGGGGGCGGGACCCACAUAUGAGAUUCCUGACGCAGAAAGAAAUGCAGCCUGUUCAGCGAAAACGACGCGUCGGUCGCAGGAUAAUCAGAGAAUGCGAGACCCUACGAUGUAUGACGACGAUCUCGGCAGUCGGUGGGGACCACAAUGACAGGUAGCAUGUGAAUUCGUGAUUCGUGCGUAAUAAGAAAAACCCAACAACAGUGAGCCCGUGCUGCUCCCGCGUAGUACUGGAUCGAUCAGAAGACCGGGUUUGGAUGGAUAUCAUUUGUAAAUUUGACCAUAUUAUAACGUUUUUUUUUAUUAUUUAUUAUUUUACGUGUGUGAUUGUAAUAUGUGCUUUAACUUUGAGUAUCUCUAAAGUAGUCAUUGCCUUACAAAAAAUUCAGAUUUAAAGUGUGAUUCCAGAAUCUAUCAAUUAAAAUGAUGAUUAAAUAAUAAUAGCAGUAGUACUAAUAAUAGGCUGCCAUUCAUUUUUGCGUAUGCUCGAGAUUUUUAUCUAGUUGACUCUUAUGGAUCUUCAUUUUACUAACGUUUACAAGACAUUUCUUAAAUGUAACACGAGGUCAAAGUUCAAUACUAGAAAGGAAGAAAGGAAAGAAAGUUUUAUGGAUAAGGGUGUAAAAUAAAAACUUAAUCAAGUUAUUUGGUGAUUCAAUUGUUAAUAUUUAAAUCAAUUGGUUGAAAAUUUGAGCGCAUGUGGUCUAGCCAGCAAAGCAAAGAGUUCAUUGCUUAGUUGGAUUCCGCAUGAUCAUUAAUCACAUCCAAUCCUUAAUUAACAAUCAAACUAAUCUCCUCACGCGGUGAACGCAACUACAACCGAGCCCUAAUUACUUGAAAGGCAGUCAUUGAAAUUUUUUGGAAUUAGUGAUAAAGUGGUUUUAGGAAUAAAUUAAUCAACUAGUGAAAAAUACUAAAUGAUUGACGUCGUUAUUGAUUUGUAAUCAAAAUCUAAUUAUUUAUUCCUUAGAAAACAAGAGAUCACAUUAUAGUAAUAGAAGAUUUUUAUUUUAUUAAGCUAGGCCACAGAAGUAGUCAAACACUAACUUACAUUAAUAUAAAUUUUCCGUGGCCUAGCUAUUAAUCAAUAAAGGUUGCCUUCCACUACGGUAUGAUCACAAACAUCUCGAUCAAGUUAGAUUUUUAUGGGGGUUUUAGCCGUUUGGCAAGUGAUCUUAAACAGAUUGAAUUUUGUGAGCGACAAGGGACUAAAAUAUUGAUUUAAACUAUACUUAUCCCUUAUCUUUCUUUCUUUUUUUUUCUUUAAAAAAAAGUAUAAUUAAUAAAAUUCAAGUAAAAUCUGAAAUUGUAAUUUGAUUCUUUUUUUUUCCUGAAAUGAGAAGCCAAACAUGCCAUUUAUUUGCAAGCGAACAGAUCAUUUCAAAGUUACAAGAAUAGUAUGGUAUAAGAUUGAAAGGUAAAAACAAAAAAAAAUAAAAAAAUAAAAACGACCCACGCCCUUAUAUAGGGAGGCAAGAUACCAUUUUGAAGUAGUUUGGUGGAGAAAUAUACAUCACAAUAAAGUCUUAAAGCAUUUUAAAUCGUUGGUUGGGGCUAACAAACCAUCCCGUACUUCAAUCCCCACCAACUCUUAUAGUUUUUUAGCUCUUCUUCUUCUUCUUCUUCUUCUUCUUCUUCUUCUUCUAAGUGGAACUACUAUAUAUAAGUUUGAUUUCAUAAACUUUUUUCAAUGAAAUGAAUAAUUAAUUAAUCUGAUUAUCUAUGUUUCAGGAAAUAGUGAGAGACCAUAGUGGCUUAUGUGGGUACAAUGUGUAAGCAAUGAAAUUGUUCGCAAUUGUUUAACUUGUAUAUAUAUAUAUCAUUCAUUCCAAAACUUGUUCAAUUUUUUUAAAUUGCAUACCUUAACAUCCAAUUUUGACUGUCUCAGUUUCUUUUUUAAUACUCCAUUUCUAUAAAUACAUUGCACGUGUUUAAUUUUAGGUCUUGCAUCAAUGAGCAUAAAAAAAUUUCCCCAGUUAAGCUACAUCCGAACAAGUCUUGUUGUUCUCGCGAUCUCUAAAGUCAAUACAUAUAAAAUUGACUGGCAUAUCAUAUGCAUUUAAUCAAUGCAUAAUAUGAAGCUUCUAAUUAUAUUUUUCUAUGUUUUUUAUAUUUUCUUGACAUUGAAUUUCUUUUUGUUUUUAUUAUUUUAAUGUGUGUUCACUUCCACAACUUUCUUAUUUCCCAUGUUUUUUUUUUCUCUCUAAAGGAAACCCAGUUUUUUUUUUUUUUUUAUUAAAAGUGUUUCUACAAAUAAAUGCUUUCGCAUCAUUUCAACAAUAUCUUUAAAUAUGGAAUUAUAAUAAUAUUAGAGAUCCUAACAUGUGAAUUCUAAUUUAAGUUCUAAUAUCAUGUGUCACUUAUUUAUUAAAUGAUAAAUUUUAUAACUUGUAAAAUUACUUAACCACUAUCUAAUAGAUAAAUAUCAUAUUAUUUGACACCUAAAUAUUAAGAUGUUUCGCAUUACCCAUGUGAUUUAUACAUAGAAGUAAAAAUAAUCUUUUAAUCUAGGAUUGUUUAAAAUUGAAAAAAUAUAGAAACAUAUUUUAUUUCUGUCCUAUAUGUAUUUAUAAAUAAAAAGUUUGAUUAAAAAAAUGAAAUAUACAAUUCUCACCUUCACUUUAUUUAUUUUAUUUUUAUUUCUUUUUUAUAAUAAGCUCAUACAUGUGAAGGCCCCCAUCUAUUUGCCGCUGCGGUAACACACCACAAAUUUUGUCCUUCAGCUUUCUUACAAUUGUAAACACACAACGAGUUAAAUCCCUAACAAUAUUUCUCCAAAUUUAUCUAUGAAAUUUGUUAUAAGGCCUUUCCAACUGAAUUAGAAAAAGAUUUGUCAAUAUCUUAAUGGUUUGUUUACUUGAGAGAUUGGGGAAUCGGAAUUCAAAAUGAGAAUAAUUGAUGAUAUUUACUUGUUUAAAUAGAAACGGGAAUCGUAAUGAAACACGUGGAGGUUUUUUUUAGGAUUAAAAAAUAGGAACUUUAUUCCCAUGUGUUAGACAUCAAGUUCCAUAAACUCUCUAUUUUAUCCCACCCAAAUUUCAUAAUUCCGCUUUUUUCUUAAUUAAAAAUAUUGUUAAAUUAUUGUUACUGUUAUGAUUUUUAUUCUUUUUUUGGUUUUAACCACGAGGUAUCAUGGGGAGUGCCCCAACUGUGGGAUGUACCUUUAAGCUCGUACCACAACAAUAAUAGUGAUGAUGACGAUGAAGAAGAAGAAGAUUUAUAAUAAUAGUUAUUAUUAUUAAUUAGACGAUGCUUCAUUUGUCAAGAAAAUAAUGAGACAUCAAGUUGUCUUUAUAAUAAUACAUCUAAUGACUUGUAAUUUGUGUUUGAAAUAUAACUGACGAGUUAUAUAUAGCAUACUAUUUACGUGUGUUAGUCAUAUAAAUUAUAAGUAAGUAAGAUAUGUCAUCCAUUUUCUUAUCUCAAGAAUGACAUGUCAUUUUUAAAAAAAUGAUAAAUGACGAGUCAUCUAUAUCUUAUGUGCCAAUUAUGUUAUUAUUAUUAGCAGUAGACUAGUAGUAUUAACAUUAUUAUUAUUACUAUCAUUAUUGUUAUUUUUAUCGCUAUUACUGUUACUAUUAUGAUAGAUAAUAAUAAUAAUACUAAGACAAUGAUUAACUAAGGAUAUUUUUGGCAACUUGUAACAAUACAUUCCAAUUUUUAGAUAAAAUAAACACAUAAAUGGAAAAACAACUUAUUCUAGUUUAAUUUAUACAGUUAAAGUGAACAUAUUAUUCUGAUUAUGAUUUCAGUAUAUUUUGAUUAUAGUCCAUUUAUAAUACCAACUGAUUAAUAUGUCCUUGAAAAUUAGAUAAGCUAUUGUUCUGAAGUAAAAUUUUUUGAUUUUAGCCAUUGGAUAAUCUAACGACGGAGACAUAAAAUGACAAAAUUGCACGAUACCAUACCACCGUGGCAACAUGGAUAUAACAAGUAGCAUUAGGAAGAAAAGAUUUCUCCAAGGUUUUCAACAACUGAGUGGAAAGAGUAAAUUAUACAAUAUCUUUAAAUAUGGAAUUAUAAUAAUAUUAGAGAUCCUAACAUGUGAAUUCUAAUUUAAGUUCUAAUAUCAUGUGUCACUUAUUUAUUAAAUGAUAAAUUUUAUAACUUGUAAAAUUACUUAACCACUAUCUAAUAGAUAAAUAUCAUAUUAUUUGACACCUAAAUAUUAAGAUGUUUCGCAUUACCCAUGUGAUUUAUACAUAGAAGUAAAAAUAAUCUUUUAAUCUAGGAUUGUUUAAAAUUGAAAAAAUAUAGAAACAUAUUUUAUUUCUGUCCUAUAUGUAUUUAUAAAUAAAAAGUUUGAUUAAAAAAAUGAAAUAUACAAUUCUCACCUUCACUUUAUUUAUUUUAUUUUUAUUUCUUUUUUAUAAUAAGCUCAUACAUGUGAAGGCCCCCAUCUAUUUGCCGCUGCGGUAACACACCACAAAUUUUGUCCUUCAGCUUUCUUACAAUUGUAAACACACAACGAGUUAAAUCCCUAACAAUAUUUCUCCAAAUUUAUCUAUGAAAUUUGUUAUAAGGCCUUUCCAACUGAAUUAGAAAAAGAUUUGUCAAUAUCUUAAUGGUUUGUUUACUUGAGAGAUUGGGGAAUCGGAAUUCAAAAUGAGAAUAAUUGAUGAUAUUUACUUGUUUAAAUAGAAACGGGAAUCGUAAUGAAACACGUGGAGGUUUUUUUUAGGAUUAAAAAAUAGGAACUUUAUUCCCAUGUGUUAGACAUCAAGUUCCAUAAACUCUCUAUUUUAUCCCACCCAAAUUUCAUAAUUCCGCUUUUUUCUUAAUUAAAAAUAUUGUUAAAUUAUUGUUACUGUUAUGAUUUUUAUUCUUUUUUUGGUUUUAACCACGAGGUAUCAUGGGGAGUGCCCCAACUGUGGGAUGUACCUUUAAGCUCGUACCACAACAAUAAUAGUGAUGAUGACGAUGAAGAAGAAGAAGAUUUAUAAUAAUAGUUAUUAUUAUUAAUUAGACGAUGCUUCAUUUGUCAAGAAAAUAAUGAGACAUCAAGUUGUCUUUAUAAUAAUACAUCUAAUGACUUGUAAUUUGUGUUUGAAAUAUAACUGACGAGUUAUAUAUAGCAUACUAUUUACGUGUGUUAGUCAUAUAAAUUAUAAGUAAGUAAGAUAUGUCAUCCAUUUUCUUAUCUCAAGAAUGACAUGUCAUUUUUAAAAAAAUGAUAAAUGACGAGUCAUCUAUAUCUUAUGUGCCAAUUAUGUUAUUAUUAUUAGCAGUAGACUAGUAGUAUUAACAUUAUUAUUAUUACUAUCAUUAUUGUUAUUUUUAUCGCUAUUACUGUUACUAUUAUGAUAGAUAAUAAUAAUAAUACUAAGACAAUGAUUAACUAAGGAUAUUUUUGGCAACUUGUAACAAUACAUUCCAAUUUUUAGAUAAAAUAAACACAUAAAUGGAAAAACAACUUAUUCUAGUUUAAUUUAUACAGUUAAAGUGAACAUAUUAUUCUGAUUAUGAUUUCAGUAUAUUUUGAUUAUAGUCCAUUUAUAAUACCAACUGAUUAAUAUGUCCUUGAAAAUUAGAUAAGCUAUUGUUCUGAAGUAAAAUUUUUUGAUUUUAGCCAUUGGAUAAUCUAACGACGGAGACAUAAAAUGACAAAAUUGCACGAUACCAUACCACCGUGGCAACAUGGAUAUAACAAGUAGCAUUAGGAAGAAAAGAUUUCUCCAAGGUUUUCAACAACUGAGUGGAAAGAGUAAAUUAUCAUUGCAUAAAGUUAAUGGAUUAAACCAAUCAACUAUAAUAUCAUUGGCCAUACUUUUCAAACGGGAAAUAAUUAGCCUUUGCAAUGAUUAAUUCGUUUAGAUAUUUUAUAUUAAUUCAAUCAUGGAACCAUAUUUUGUUCUAGGGAACCACUGUGAUAAUAAUUCCUCUCUCACAGUCUUUUAUUUUUAUCUGUUCUUUAUUUUUCCCCUUAAUUUUAAGUUAUGCUUAAGAUUUCAUAAGAUCAGGUCCAUCUCUAAAAGGCUAAAACUAGUGUGUUGUGUGUAGCCAAGCCCAAUAGAAAAGAAUUGGGAUACUCACUUUUUAUUAUUUUUAUAUGAAAUGCUCUAAAGUUGGUAACAAGUUAUGCUUUUAAUGCUUACAAGCCAUGUGAAGAUCAUGAAACAAAAAAGUAGUCAAUGCUGACUGAUAAUUUGUCCUGCUCAAAAGAGGCAAAGCUGGAGAGGGCUACAGAACACUGCACAUCAAAACCAUUAAAAAGCCUUCUACUUUCGUGUUUAAUUUUAAGCUUUUUCUAUGGUUGUAUAUUCUGUUGUUACCUUUUUCAUUUGACAACGUUUUAAAAAGUGAUAAACAACUUCAUCCUUAUCUAACACACGCCCUCUUACUAUAAUUCUGGUAAAAGAAUAUCAAAUUAUGUAGUCGAGUCUCUUUUCUUCGUAUGCAAAACAAAUUCGCAUUAUUGUGAGUGAAAAUACUGACUUAUCGCAUACCACCGGAUAAACAAAUACGUUCUAUAGAAUUGACAACGAUCUGCACAAGAGAGAACGUAUAUAAUUAUACUUCAUAAGGUAGCGUCAGUGGGUUGUAUUUGUCGUCUCAUCUCGAUCAGUUCAUAAAUUUAUAUCUAAAAAUAUUAGGCCGCCAUGUAUUCGAUGAAUUUGGGCGAUCCACAGAUUUUGAAGGCUCCCUGACUGCUGCAUUUUGCCGACCUUCAGAGAUUCAGUUUACAGCUAAUUCUGAAUGCUACCAAGUCUAAAAUAUGCGUCGAGCCACCAACGGAGAAACAUAAAAACAUGCUGCGGUUGAGGGGUGAGGGCAAGAUGAAAUGCACAAAGAAAGGCGAUAUGUUAUAUCAUCUAUCAAUCGCGGUGAACGAAGCAGGAUAGGCUAAUUUAUUCAGGAUGCACGCAAACGAAAGUAACCCAUGUAUUCUUUUUCUUUUCUGACACUGCUGACAGAUUUUACAUAAACCAUCUCUGGUGCGUGGCAUGUGAAAGUACAGAUCAAGCAGCAGACAUUCAGUUGGAUUAUCACACAACACAUCACCACACCAAUGGUAAAGAUGAGCGCAUGAGUUCCCUACCUCAGCAUUAGUAAUCCGAAGAACACCUGGAUCAAACAGGGUUUCUACAAUUCCUAUCUGUUGCCAAUCCUGGUAAAUAUAUGAAGCUUGCCUGGAAAAACAUAUUCCUGGUGAUGACCUGAACUUGCAAAGAAGCUCAACUGUCUUGAUUCCCUACUUAUCCACAGCUAUCUUUUCCCGAAUCUCAAGCACUUAUUGUGUUUAACUUCUGUCAUACUUGAGGUAGAAGUGAGCUGUUUAUUAGCUGGUCUUGUGAUAGAGAGUUUCUCCAUCGCAUUUAUGAACUUGCGCAAGUGUUUAAUGUAUUCCGGAUAUGUUUCGAGGUUACAGUGACCCCCACCUUUGACCCAUAAGGGAUCGUAUUUUUCCUUCGAUAAUUCCCAUAAACGCUUCCCAUGCGACAAAUCAACAAUGUCAUCAUUUGUUCCCUGCAAAUGUUUGAUCAACAAAAGUGCUUUUUCACUAACAGCUUAGAACUAACAGAUAUAGAUCCAUACGCAUUGAAACAAAAAAAAUAUUGACAUUGAUCAGACAAAAUCGAAAUCAUCAGUGUGAAGAAGUAAUUAGAUGAUGUGUGUAUAUGUGCCUACGAAUGAAACUAAAUUGCAUUUAAAGACUGACAAGAAAUGAAAUUCAAUUGGCAUCUGCUAUAUCAAUGGUAAACCAUGCAAGAAACUAAUCAAGAUGGUUAAGGAAAGAAGAACACUUACAUGUAUAACCAGAACAGGGCAGUUGACAUGUCGAAUUUUGUCUAUGUUCUGUAAAAUAUGAAUGGAGCAUCUCAAAUACAAAACCAAAAAAAUAAGCUUACAGCAGAACAAGUUGUACAACGAAAUAUGCAAGUUAAACUUACUUUGUAAAUGUCGAACCACAAUGUCAUUUUCACAGGAUACAAGACCCGUAUGCCUGAAAGGAUAGCGCUAUGUAGUACGACACCUCUCAACUUCUGUAAACGAGAAGCCAAGUGCAGUGUGGGCCCACUUCCAACAGAUUGGCCGUAUAAAAUCAGCUCCUCUUGCUUUACAUUAUAUUCUCUUUUCAAACAAUUGUACACAGCCUCUAUGUCGUAAUAUGUGUUGAAUUCAGAUGGCUAUUACAAUACAAAAAUAACCACUAAUCAGAAAAAUUUUCAGAAGCAAGGAGUUAAAGCAAAGCUAUAUUAGAUUUGCAAAUCAACAAUAGUUUUUUUCUUUUUUCGUUUUUUUUAAUAAUUUUACCUUCCCAGUGGAUGCUCCGUAUCCUGAAUAAUCAUAACUGCAAAAUAGCAGGAAAGAAAAAAUGCUGAGUAAUCCCACCGUAUGCUCAUUGAGGAAAUGAUUAAACAUAACAAAAACAAUCAAGAGGUGCGUGUGAAUUAUUAAGAUACCAAUAUACAUGUUAUAUUGAAUUAUUGACCACAAAAUGAAUCCAAUAAAUUCAGACCAAAAAAAAAAAAGGAGGGGUAAUAUUUCUAAGCCAUUAGUCCUUCAAGUUUCAACUAGACUGCUAUAUCAAACUUUUGACUGUUCUUUUUCGGCGGGUUCAAGUCAUAGGAGUCGAAAACUUGUAAUAUAGAAGAAAAAAAAAAAUCUGGAAAACGUCAUGUUGCCGGCAGCAUAUAAUUAACCGAUCACCUAUCACAAUUUGGGUCUAAAUUAUUAGUAUUCCCAGUGAAAAAUAAAAUGAUUCCAAAAUGUGCAAAGACAAAGAGACUUUAGAAAUUAAAAUGAGAAACGCAUAAUCAAACAAAAUAACAGAUAUCCCCAAACCAAAAAGAAAGAAAGAAAGAAAGAAAGAAAAACCAAGCAUCUAAUUAACCAAUUUACAACAAAAACUGCAAACAGAAAAUGAUGAAAUUUGCAACAACAGAAGAAGCAAAACUCACCAAAAAACUGAAAACAAGAAUUAAAAAAUUUGGAAAAAGGAAAGAAAAGAAAGAAAGAAGAAAG